UAUAUGGGUGUAUAUAUACAUACAUACAUGCACAUAUGUAUAUAUAUAUAUGUGUGUGUGUGUAUACGUACACAUAUAGAAGAAUACAUCUCCUGCCCUGAGUUCAGGUUGAAAAUGCUAACAGAAUGCCCCAUGAGGUCCUUGUUGAAUUAGCCAACCCUUCACAAUUUAAUAGAUACAGUUAUUAUCUAACUUUACUCCUGCUGACUUGGUCCCCACUUGGUUUUGUGGCACCUCCCGAUCCACUGUCAGGCUGGGCUCCUGCCUGGAAAAAGGUGACCUAAAGCGGAAGCCAAAAUAUCCCGGGGAGCUGCCCAGCCAGCAUAGAGACCCUCUGAUAAAACCACUCCAUUUCUCUCUCGGAACAAAGCAGAACCAAGAGCAAGGCUCGGGAGGAAUGUGAAGAAAAGCUGCCAGGAGGGAGAGAGGAGCAGGGAGGCAACAAGCCGUCCUCUGAUGAUGGCAGCGCUGCCCACGGCUCGUCCGCUCCGGACCUGCGGUCUGUGCAAGAAUCUGCAAAGUACCCAGUUCUUAAAACAAGAGGAGGUUUUCUGGCUGAAUUGCCCGAGCCCAGGAAAGUCCAGGGCAGCCUUUGCAAGUGACCCCUGCAGAGUGUUCUCGGGCAAGAAAAUAUAUUUAAAAUGCUUCAGUAGCCUCCAAUCUGAUCUCCUGACAAUAAUACAGAAAUAUUUUGGUGACAAAUGGGGGCACAGGCAAAGGUUUCUCACCGUGGAUUUAACCUGCAAAAUAUCCAACUCAAAAAGGUGUCGUUGAUGAAAUGAGAGAGAUUAGAAACAAAAAUGGCUCAUUAGCCAGGACUCCUUAUCAGAAAUGCUGCCAUGAAUGACGGGAACAUUGGUCAACUAAAAGCUCCUCAUCAGGCCCACAUGCAACCAGCAGGACUUUAUAGGAGAAAGGCAUCGACCAGCUCGUUCAGGAGGUGCAGCUCCUCCUCCAGCCCGGUCACCUCUUUGCUCCGUGAGGACCGGGCAGCACGCCCACCCCCAGGAGCACGCUGUGUUGGAUCCG